GGUCGGUUAGCUCAGUUGGUUAGAGCGUGGUACUAAUAUGUGAUCUUGCAUGUUCAGUAAUGCCAAGGCCGGGAGUUCAAGCCUCCCACUGAUCA
rnacentral:tRNA from 1 species